rnacentral:rRNA from 1 species
AAUACGUUCCCGGGCCUUGUACACACCGCCCGUCACACCACGAAAGUCGGCAACACCCGAAGCCGGUGGCCUAACCGUAAGGAAGGAGCCGUCGAAGGUGGGGUCGGUGAUUGGGGUG